GCCGGUGUGGCUCAAUGGAAGAGCAGCUGAUUUGUAAUCAGCAGGUUGGGGGUUCGAUUCCCUUCGCCGGCUCCA
rnacentral:tRNA from 1 species